AGCGAACGCUGGCGGCAGGCCUAACACAUGCAAGUCGAACGGAUCCUUCGGGAUUAGUGGCUGACGGGUGAGUAACACGUGGGAACGUGCCCUUUGGUUCGGAACAACUCGGGGAAACUUGAGCUAAUACCGGAUGUGCCCUUCGGGGGAAAGAUUUAUCGCCAUUGGAGCGGCCCGCGUCUGAUUAGCUAGUUGGUGAGGUAAAGGCUCACCAAGGCGACGAUCAGUAGCUGGUCUGAGAGGAUGAUCAGCCACAUUGGGACUGAGACACGGCCCAAACUCCUACGGGAGGCAGCAGUGGGGAAUCUUGAGCAAUGGGCGAAAGCCUGACGCAGCCAUGCCGCGUGAAUGAUGAAGGUCUUAGGAUUGUAAAAUUCUUUCACCGGGGACGAUAAUGACGGUACCCGGAGAAGAAGCCCCGGCUAACUUCGUGCCAGCCGCCGCAGUAACAC
rnacentral:rRNA from 1 species